UACGUAGGGACCAAGCGUUGUUCGGAUUUACUGGGCGUAAAGGGCGCGUAGGCGGCAAUUCAAGUCAGCUGUGAAAUCUCCGAGCUUAACUCGGAACGGUCAGCUGAUACUGCUUUGCUAGAGUGCAGAAAGGGCGAUCGGAAUUCUUGGUGUAGCGGUGAAAUGCGUAGAUAUCAAGAGGAACACCUGAGGCGAAGGCGGGUUGCUAGGCUGACACUGACGCUGAGGCGCGAAAGCUAGGGUAGCAAACGGG
rnacentral:rRNA from 1 species